GAAAUGGAUAAUGCAUUGUUAAGGCUCUAAUGAAGUAGAGGAUUGUUGUCCUCACAAUGCCACACUUGAGGAACACGAGCCAGCCUGCCUCCUCUUAAGAUGUCUUGUUGUGAAAUAUUAGAAUAGCAAAAGGCUAAUCUAUGCAUCCAUGGGGCAGGGGGGACCGUUUCAGCCCACAUUUCACACACUGCAGUCAUCAAUUCAUUGGCUUCGAAAAAAAAAAAAGAAAAAGAAAAAGAAAGAAGCCUGCUCUCCCCUUGUCCAGCUGCAGCGGGCAGGAGCGGGAACAUAUGCCUGUCUGAAAGAGGACGAGCGGGGAGGCUUCUCAGGAGAAGGCACACAAAGAAAGCCAAUCUCCUCCACAAAGCGUGGAAUGACUUAAACACUCUAUUGUAUUAAAUAUGAAUGAGUCCUCAUUGUGGAGCGCAGUGUGUGGGGACCCGUGGUGUCCUCCCAUUAGCCACAUGAUUAACCAGAUUACACGGGAAGCCGCUAAGGUAAAUAAGGCCAGCCUUCUGUCACUUCCUCCCCCGGGCCUGGCCAACAAGGGGCCGAAGAGCUGGCCCCUUUGUAGUCAACUGGGUGGAAAGAAGAAAUAACCAUGAAUGUCAUGCUUGGUAAUUAAAAAAGGAGAGGGAGACAGACAGAGAGAGAGCAAGAGAGAGAAAGAAAGUUGUCUCCAGGGGCCAUCUAUGAGAAACAGUGUGAAAACAUCUUUCUGAUCAACUAACAUGUCAGCAUUGUUCCCUUUGACCAGACAGGACUAAUGUAACCCUCCCCUAAACAGGCUCCUGUAUUCCCUUUUGUGGUCCGGGAGACAAAAACCCACAAAACAUGAAUUAAAGCUGCCUGACUCUGCUCAUUA